GAUGAACGCUAGCGAUAGGCUUAACACAUGCAAGUCGAGGGGCAGCAUGGUCUUAGCUUGCUAAGACUGAUGGCGACCGGCGCACGGGUGCGUAACGCGUAUGCAACUUGCCUCACAGAGGGGGAUAACCCGUCGAAAGACGGACUAAUACCGCGUACACUUGGAGGGAGGCAUCUUCCACCAAGGAAAUGAAAUUCGCUGUGAGAUAGGCAUGCGUCCCAUUAGCUAGUUGGUGAGGUAACGGCUCACCAAGGCAACGAUGGGUAGGGGAACUGAGAGGUUGAACCCCCACACUGGUACUGAGACACGGACCAGACUCCUACGGGAGGCAGCAGUGAGGAAUAUUGGUCAAUGGGCGAGAGCCUGAACCAGCCAAGUCGCGUGAAGGAUGACUGUCUUAUGGAUUGUAAACUUCUUUUGUAGGGGAAUAAAGAGGGGCACGUGUGCCUCAGUGAAUGUACCCUACGAAUAAGCAUCGG
rnacentral:rRNA from 1 species